GGGAUAACACUGGGAAACAGGUGCUAAUACCGCAUAACCAUAGUUACCGCAUGGUAACUAUGUAAAAGGUGGCUAUGCUACCGCUUUUGGAUGGGCCCGCGGCGCAUUAGCUAGUUGGUGGGGUAAAGGCUUACCAAGGCAAUGAUGCGUAGCCGAACUGAGAGGUUGAUCGGCCACAUUGGGACUGAGACACGGCCCAAACUCCUACGGGAGGCAGCAGUAGGGAAUCUUCCACAAUGGGCGAAAGCCUGAUGGAGCAACGCCGCGUGGGUGAAGAAGGUCUUCGGAUCGUAAAACCCUGUUGUUAGAGAAGAAAGUGCGUGAGAGUAACUGUUCGCGUUUCGACGGUAUCUAACCAGAAAGCCACGGCUAACUACGUGCCAGCAGCCGCGGUAAUACGUAGGUGGCAAGCGUUAUCCGGAUUUAUUGGGCGUAAAGGGAGCGCAGGCGGUCUUUUAAGUCUGAUGUGAAAGCCUUCGGCUUAACCGGAGUAGUGCAUUGGAAACUGGGAGACUUGAGUGCAGAAGAGGAGAGUGGAACUCCAUGUGUAGCGGUGAAAUGCGUAGAUAUAUGGAAGAACACCAGUGGCGAAAGCGGCUCUCUGGUCUGUAACUGACGCUGAGGUUCGAAAGCGUGGGUAGCAAACAGGAUUAGAUACCCUGGUAGUCCACGCCGUAAAC
rnacentral:rRNA from 1 species